GGGGAAUAUUGCGCAAUGGGGGCAACCCUGACGCAGCCAUGCCGCGUGAAUGAAGAAGGCCUUCGGGUUGUAAAGUUCUUUCGGUGACGAGGAAGGUUGUUGUGUUAAUAGCACAACAAAUUGACGUUAAUCACAGAAGAAGCACCGGCUAACUCCGUGCCAGCAGCCGCGGUAAUACGGAGGGUGCGAGCGUUAAUCGGAAUAACUGGGCGUAAAGGGCACGCAGGCGGCUAUUUAAGUGAGGUGUGAAAUCCCCGGGCUUAACCUGGGAAUUGCAUUUCAGACUGGAUAGCUAGAGUACUUUAGGGAGGGGUAGAAUUCCACGUGUAGCGGUGAAAUGCGUAGAGAUGUGGAGGAAUACCGAAGGCGAAGGCAGCCCCUUGGGAAUGUACUGACGCUCAUGUGCGAAAGCGUGGGGAGCAAACAGGAUUAGAUACCCUGGUAGUCCACGCUGUAAACGCUGUCGAUUUGGGGAUUGGGCUUUAAGCUUGGUGCCCGUAGCUAACGUGAUAAAUCGACCGCCUGGGGAGUACGGCCGCAAGGUUA
rnacentral:rRNA from 1 species